UACGUAGGCAGCAAGCGUUGUUCGGAGUUACUGGGCGUAAAGGGUGUGUAGGCGGUUCUUUAAGUUUGGUGUGAAAUCUCCCGGCUCAACUGGGAGGGUGCGCCGAAUACUGAGGGACUAGAGUACGGGAGAGGAAAGUGGAAUUCCUGGUGUAGCGGUGAAAUGCGUAGAUAUCAGGAGGAACACCGGUGGCGUAGACGGCUUUCUGGACCGACACUGACGCUGAGACACGAAAGCGUGGGUAGCAAACAGG
rnacentral:rRNA from 1 species